UUCUUUAUCACCGAGUGCUCGCACUCACCGAUAAAGAGUUGAGUGGCGAACGGGUGAGUAACACGUGGGCAACCUGCCCAAAAGAGGGGGAUAACACUUGGAAACAGGUGCUAAUACCGCAUAACCAUAGUUACCGCAUGGUAACUAUGUAAAAGGUGGCUAUGCUACCGCUUUUGGAUGGGCCCGCGGCGCAUUAGCUAGUUGGUGGGGUAAAGGCUUACCAAGGCAAUGAUGCGUAGCCGAACUGAGAGGUUGAUCGGCCACAUUGGGACUGAGACACGGCCCAAACUCCUACGGGAGGCAGCAGUAGGGAAUCUUCCACAAUGGGCGAAAGCCUGAUGGAGCAACGCCGCGUGGGUGAAGAAGGUCUUCGGAUCGUAAAACCCUGUUGUUAGAGAAGAAAGUGCGUGAGAGUAACUGUUCACGUUUCGACGGUAUCUAACCAGAAAGCCACGGCUAACUACGUGCCAGCAGCCGCGGUAAUACGUAGGUGGCAAGCGUUAUCCGGAUUUAUUGGGCGUAAAGGGAACGCAGGCGGUCUUUUAAGUCUGAUGUGAAAGCCUUCGGCUUAACCGGAGUAGUGCAUUGGAAACUGGGAGACUUGAGUGCAGAAGAGGAGAGUGGAACUCCAUGUGUAGCGGUGAAAUGCGUAGAUAUAUGGAAGAACACCAGUGGCGAAAGCGGCUCUCUGGUCUGUAACUGACGCUGAAGUUCGAAAGCGUGGGUAGCAAACAGGAUUAGAUACCCUGGUAGUC
rnacentral:rRNA from 1 species